GACAGGCUCAUUUAGAAACAAAUUAGGGGUUAAGUAAAAAGUGCAUGACGAAGGCAAAACCGAGUUUCCCUUUCCCCCUUCCUGUCGGUUAGAAUUAGAAAGUGCCUAUGAGCAGCGUGUGUCAAGAAUAUGAACGUGAGAUGUCAUUUCAGCUGCCUCUAAUUGAAGCCAGGAUAAAUGGAGUGGAAAGGCAGCGUCUAAUCCAAUCAAAACAUGAAAAAGUGAUACCAUAUCUCAUGGUGUUCAAAUAUGCCUGGUGUCAGCUCCUGCUUUGUAAAUGCUACAGCGGUUCCACUCUCUCUGCUUCACGAUUACACGGAAGUGAGUUUGUGAAGCACUUUUGGACAGUUAAUCCGACUCAUCAGUAUUUUAUGUGGGGACACCCGACACCUUUCUUGUUUUUAAUAGGAUGGGCGAUGGGUUUAAAAUAUAAAUCUCUUAUCAUCGGGGCUCAUUAAAAUAGUACCACGCACAGAGAUUUUACUGUGGCUCUUAAUGAAAUAGCCAAUAUUGAGAUCACAACAAGAAGUCAGAUAGCAAAGAAAAAUGACAGCUGGAGACGCAGAGAGCGGUUCUGUGCUGGCGGAAGGUGCUGGAAAUCCUCCUACAAAUCGCCUCUGAGCAGAAGAAAGUCUGAAAGAUCAACUGGCCAGGCCCCUGGAUUUACGGGUGAGAAGAGUGCCAGCAACCACAUAAGAGCUCUCUGCUUCUCCGUUCAUUGGAGGCAGAAACAGGAAGAGGGCCCCAGGGCGCCAACUGGCCUACACUGGGGUCCCGUCAGCCCCUGCCCCAGAGCCCCAGGAGUGACAUUUGAAAGCCAGUUCAGUGUCUCUGGGGCCACUGCUGAAGCACAAAUGAGGUGUCUCUGAGGAAGGCACCAAAGGCUUGGGCCAGGACAGUAAGAGACCACGGAGCAGCAGGUAAAACCAAAGUCACCGCUGAACAGUCUUCACUGCCAAGGGGCUCUGAUUUCCUCAAAUGCUUUCUCUGAAAGGCCAUCUUAUAUUAAAGGGUUUAUUCACCCGGGGCCCCUGGGUGGUACAGCUGAUUAAGCAGCCGACUCCUGGUUUCCACUCAGGUCAUGAUCUCAGGGUCAUGAGAUCCAGCCCUGCAUCAGGCUCUUCGCUCAGUGUGGAGUCUGCUUGGGACUCCCUCUCUCCCUCUUCCUCUGCCCUGCCCCCUGCGUUCUAGCAGUCUCUCUCUCUCAAAUAAAUAAAUAAUUUUUUAAAGGGGGGGACGCUUA
rnacentral:lncRNA from 1 species